ensembl:lncRNA
AUUAAAAAUAGACUGCCUAAGACAGAUUAUUAAAAUUUAUUUUUUUCUGGAAAAUUAUAUUCUGAUGGGAAAUGUAACCUAAAAAAAAAAAAAAGGAAAAUAUUAAUAUUGCAAAACAGAUUGCAAAAAAAAUAAAGUAUGGUUUUAGAUGAUUCAAUCCAAGUGAAAAUAAUUCAUGCAUAACACUCUACUUGACUUACAAAGAACAUUUAAUUUUUCAUUCUGCAAUAAAACACUGAAUGCUGUUUCUCUUCCAGCAAGUUGUUUCAUUGAGACAUUUGGUCUUUCUUCUAUUCCAUGAGCAAGGCUCCCUGGAGGACCACAUCUCCCACAACUUAAUGAAUAAUUUCCUGUGACCACGCCAGCUGAUGGACCUUUGGAUUUCCGAGGUGCUGCCUGUGCCAAAUACUUCUGCUGCUGGCUCAUGUCACAGUCCCAGCGUGGGAGCUGUGCUGGAGAUGUCUGGGAGCUCAGCUUGGCUACUGCUGCCCUACACAAAGUUUCCACUCCGUUUUCUCUCUCUUCUUAGUUUUGAAAUGAGCUGCACUGAUUCUCAAAUCCUUAAAAAACCUUUGGUACCAAGUGGGAUCCUGCAUGUACUUCCCACCAUCUCCUCCUGCGCUCCUACUCAGGGAGAAGGCUUUCUCCGGCUUUGGGAUUGUUCACUUUGAAAACGGAUGGCUGUUUCUGCAUUUUUUUUUCGUAGGCCAGAGCAGCUUCCUUUCCAUGGCACAAACCAGAAAUUUACUUACAUUCCUUGCUCGCCUAGUUAAGCUUUGCCACAACUCAGAGCUCUGUCUUGAACGGAACUGAACUUUGACAUUUUCUCUUCCAACUUUAUGAGUUCAAAAUGCCACGCUACUGGGGAACAGAAUCCCAGAACUGAGCUGUUUUUCUCUAACCCCCAGCGAGAGACUAUAUCAAGACAGGAAAAAAUGCACUGUACAUUAAGCUGCUCUUCACCCUCCUGGGCAAACAGCCCUGCAGAUGCCUCUCUUGGCAUGGGGCUGUGCUUCCAGGCGAGCGGCACACACACCCUACAGCUGCUGGGGCAGGGCAACAGAAGUCAUCAUGCCCACAUGUGGAAGAGCACGUCUGAACUCUCCGUGUCUGUCUGUCUUCCCGAAUGCACAGGAUCACUUACCCCAUGAAAUCACUGCAACGUGUACUCCAUUCGCCUUGCUCUGUGACAUGAUUUCUUGACUGUUAUGCUGGGAUCCAGUGAUGGAUGCGGCUCCUCCAGGAUGCUUGCCCUUACCACCUGCCGUCACAUCCCAUUCAGACAUACAGAAAG